rnacentral:lncRNA from 1 species
GGGUCCAUGUAUCCACCUAGCUCUGGUACCUCCAGAGGUGCCAUCUCUACCUCUGGCACAGCCUGUCUGCCUUGAGACUGAGGAAGGCACAGGCAAGCAAGGAGCCAUGAACCACAGGGCCCCAGCCAGCACAGGAUUUGCCCUCAUUCCGUGGAUGAUGAAUCUAUUGGAGUCCAGAAUAAAUGCUGCUCUUUGGCUUCC